UCCUGCUUGCAACGGUAAGAGAAUACGU
rnacentral:sRNA from 1 species